rnacentral:rRNA from 1 species
GACGAACGCUGGCGGCGUGCUUAACACAUGCAAGUCGAGCGGAGCGGAGAACGGGCGAGUAACGCGUGAGUAACUGACCCCCUCUCUGGGAUAAAAGUUGGAAACGGCUGCUAAUACCGGAUAGUGGGGGAUGACUCGCGUCCUAUCAGCUUGUUGGUGGGGUGGUGGCCUACCAAGGCGACGACGGGUAGCCGGCCUGAGCGGGCGGACGGACUCAUGUGUCUGAGGUAGGGCGCAAAGGCGAACAGGGGGCAGCAGGGGGGAAGAUUGCACAAUGUGGGAAACCCUGAGGCGGCGGCGCCGGGUGCGUGAUGACGGCCUUGGGGGUGUAAACCGCUUUCAGCCAUGACGCGUUAUUGGCAGAAGAAGCACCGGCUAACUCCGUGCCAGCAGCCGCGGUAAUAC